AGAACGAACGCUGGCGGCAUGCCUAAUACAUGCAAGUCGAACGAAGGCUUCGGCCUUAGUGGCGCACGGGUGCGUAACGCGUGGGAAUCUGCCCCUUGGUUCGGAAUAACAGUUGGAAACGACUGCUAAUACCGGAUGAUGACGAAAGUCCAAAGAUUUAUCGCCCAGGGAUGACGCCCGCGUAGGAUUAGCUAGUUGGUGAGGUAAAGGCUCACCAAGGCGACGAUCCUUAGCUGGUCUGAGAGGAUGAUCAGCCACACUGGGACUGAGACACGGCCCAGACCUCC
rnacentral:rRNA from 1 species